AACGCACAUUGCGCCCCUUGGUAUUCCGGGGGGCAUGCCUGUUCGAGCGUCAUUAUCACCCCUCAAGCUCAGCUUGGUGUUGGGGCCUGCCCGUCACAGGGCAGCCCCUAAAAGCAGUGGCGGUGCCAUCUGGCUCUACGCGUAGUAACUCUUCUCGCGACAGGGUCCCGGUGGUGUCCAGCCAGAACCCCAAACUUUUUUCAAUGAUUGACCUCGGAUCAGGUAGGGAUACCCGCUGAACUUAA
rnacentral:misc_RNA from 1 species